UUGACCAGUUUGUCCGUCGAUGAGUGUGUCAGCUACACAAGUUGGUACUUGUGCACGCUUCAGUUAAAGUAUCGCUGGAGCAGCAACGUGUACAGGUCAGGCAGCAGGGAGCCGGCCGCCUUGCGGUCUCCAAGUGAUCACAACAGCUGAGAACAUCAGCUACGGAUAUGUCAAGCAACAAACGGUGUUCGCUGAAGCGGUAACAUCGGUGAUUGAGUGAAGAAAUGGAAGCUGACUUACACGCGAACUACAUUCCUCCAGACUAAGGGACUGUAGCACUCACAGAUGUGCCGCUUUGAAGUUUCUUAUUGUGUAAUAAACGUUCUUUGUUCUGUAUAUGCUGUCUUUACUGUGUAACCACCACAAGUAAAUAAAAUAGAGAAGUAAAAUCAAAUCAUAUAGUACCUGUAGAACCCAAUAAAAACCUGCCACAGCGUCCACAGGAUAACCACAGAACGGCCCCCUGCAUGCCUCAAAUUAUCCAA